GUCUAAUGUCAUUCCUUGAUCCACUAAUAAUGCUUGACCAAAAAAAAAAAAAAAAGGAAGCUUCCCCUAGGUUAGGCAUAACUCUUUCCAACCUGAUUCUCAAUCUUCAAAUCUAUCUUGAUACUCUUCAAGAGCGCUUUCUUGCCUUAAUCUCAUAAAUUCUUCAACUACAUCUCCUAAUCCUUCAUCCCCCACACAUGCAACACAAUUCCUUCUCAAAAUCUUCUCUAAGAAUGAUCUCCA
rnacentral:misc_RNA from 1 species